CAGCUCUGGGACAGAUUGCUACAAAGAACGAAGAACUGCUUUUUUAGCAAUAUAGUUGCAGAAUAUGCAGUAUGCAAGCAAAUAUCCAUUUGUUGAUUUAAGGUUUUGAUAUUCUAUCAUUCCUCAUGCAUCUGAGAGAUGAGAUGUGAACCACAUUUUCCAGCUUUUUAUCGCAACCGUGAAACUAGGAGUGGUCUUUCUUAAAGUCCUAAUGGAAAUUCAGAAGCUGAGGACAGAAUGAAAACACCAAACCCAGUGAAGAUCAUCAUAAAAUGAUGAGACGUGACAACUCCAACGAUGUCUGCUGUUACCAAGGUGCAGGAACAUUUUGUUUCUAUCUGUUAAAUGAUUUUUCCCAUUCAGAAGAACCUUGUGUCUGACUGGAAAUCUGCCUUUGAUCUGCUUUGUCCACAACCAAAGCAAGGUCCCGCGCAGUGUCCAAGCCCCGGAGGGCCCCUGUGCUCACAGGUGAGAGGGAAGCAGAGAGCCAGCAAAGGCUGACAGCUCCAGCGACCUCCACCACCAGCUGCUGAUCGUAACGAGGGGGCGCAGCUGGGAGCCUGGCCCCGCCAGGCAGCGAGGAUUUGGGGGGCUUGUCUGCCCUCAGCUCUGUGCAGGAAAUCAGCCUCCGAGUACUGAAACUUGGUCUUUUUCCCCUGGAUUAUGUGCUGUGUAAGAGCUGCAUGCUGCAGGAGGGUUUUUCCUAUGGCUGAAGACCAGCUUGCUCACCCCCUGUACCAAGGAACAGGAGUUUGGGCUGCAGAUAUUUGCAGAGGCUGUGCAAGGAGGCCCUGUCUGCAAGCAAAGAGGGAGGACAGCGAGGCCUGGCCGGCAAUCCCUAUCGUGCCUCCUCAGGAGAGGAGGGAAGGCUCCCCUGGUGCUCGUCCCCUGGGACACUGCUCCCUUGAAACUUGCCUUCGCCUGAGCUACCAGUAGGUAAAGCACAAAUAUAUCCCUGGAGUUGGGCCCGUGCCAGGUCAGGGCUCAGCGUAGUGCAGGGGUAGCUGCAGGUUACCUUUAUCAAAAACAACAACAAAGUUCUUCUUUAAGGGAGCUUUUUAGUAAGGAACUUUUUAGACUGGCUCAUGCUUCUACUCAGAAGAACUGUACUCUGGGCACAGUGAGUCUCUACUCUCCUGAACUUCAAGUGUUGUGGCUUGGAGGUUCAUUUCUGGGAUUUUUUUUUCUCUUUCUCCUCCCAAAAUCCUGCUGCUAUCAAAACCAGAAAAAGUUUUCUUUAUGUUGAGCCUUUCUUCCGAAAGAGACCAUCCUGUUCUGCAGAAAGGCGGCUCAGAAACUGCUGUGGGCUAGUGGGGCUGGGGAGCGCGGCCUGGGAAGCAGCCUCCCGUUUCUUCUUGCUGACUCAUCUGCAAGGGGAAGGUCAUAAAGCGGUAGAGACAGAGGCUCUGGAGAGGCCAUGUUUACACCUCUCAUCUUUAAAGAAAGCAUACCCCAGCAACCCAGGGAUUAAGAGCAGAUGUUGUAUCACAGCAGGGGAGCUGCCUGCGCGCUUCUGGAGGACGAAGCGGGCCCCAACACAGGAGCAACCUUUGCGAAGGCUAAAAGCUGAGCCUCCAGCAGACUUUGUUGGAUGAUCUCCACCAGCUCUGCAUGGAAAGGACUUUGGUUUAAAGACUGCAGGCUCUUUAGAAGCAAGGACAUUCAGCUGUUCAGAGGCCUGAUGCUGGCAUGAAGCCGCUACGCAGGCUGCAAGGCGCCGCUGGGCCGUGGAGGCUCUGCCUGGCCUCGCACGGGGAAGACGGCAGAAGGGAGUAUUUAAAAACUCUUGGGUCUAUAAAACGUGUCCGGGUUGCUCUGUCAUUCAGGACCAGAAGAUACAUCAAUAUAGUAAGCUAAACCAAACCUUUUAAGCUUAACUCUGAUUGAAAUUUCCCGUUAUGAUUGGAGAUGUCACUCUCUCUUUCUGGCAGUAUCUUAAAAGCUGGGUGAGUGGUAUUCCUUAGCCCUGUCUAUUUAGGUUAUAAGCUGUUUGAGGCAAGUUCUCUUGGUGUCUUGUGUGAAUGCUGCCUCAGUGUUUGGUCUCUCAGUGCAACUGAAAUAUAAAAAAGCUGCUAAGCUUCAGCUUUGAUUCUCAAUCAUCACUGAAGAUUUCCUGAUGAUUUCUAUUUUAAGGAAAUAUCUUAUUCAUAAUUUAUGUCUUAUAUAAAUUGAAAGAUGAGCAAAAAGCCAUGAAUGUAAACCUUUGUAUUCUGUUUCAGAGCUGUUUGGAUGCAAUACUAUCUCUGUAUUCAGUGCUAUUUCAGUGCAUUUUAUUUGAAAUGGAUGCUUGGAGUUAAAAUUCAAUGGUCUUACAGA